CUCUAAUACCCUCUGUUACAGGCUGAAAGAAUGAGGGUCCUGACCAACUCAGUAUACCACUGGAGCAAACAGAAAACUGUUCUCAUGAAAGCAGGAUUUGGAAAACUGAUGACUGUGUCUGCCCCCAGAAAGAGUGCUGAGGGCAGUCACACCCCAAGCACAGUGUUCCUUGUGAUUACCUAUAGAAGUAUCUGAAGCCUGUUGUACAAAGAAAGCAAUUAAGUGUACCUGUGAUAAAUCAAGCAGCUGACCAACCAUUACCUCUCCCUCCCUCCUAUUUCUACCUUAUAAAUACGAAGGGCUGUAGAAGCUUAGAUCCCUUGUUCACUAGAAACAAGGAGCCCCCUGUCACCUUCUUUUAAAACAGAUCUUUCUGUCUCUGUCUUCAUUUCUCCAUUCAUCCCCCUUCAUUCAAUCCUGUAGCAACUGGCAGUGACAAGUGGUGCCCAGGACAGGGACAUGAGCAAAGAAGGUCUGCUGGAGCAGAGAAAGUGAAACUGACCAGAUGAGCAAGAAACCUUGGGACAAGUCUACUGGCAGCUAAUAUAAGUCUUCAAAAUCAGGUGGACCACCAAAUGGCAAUUGAGAGCUGCAGAACCUGCAAUUACCUUUAUUCAAUUAAUGAAAAAACAAAAAGAGGGAGAUGUUACAGGCCAAAAGAAUGAGGGUCGUGACCAACUCAGCAUACCACUGGAGGCUAUAUGAGCAAACAGAAAACUGUUCUCAUGAAAGCAGGAUGUUGGAAAACUGAUGACUAUGUCUGCCCCCAGAAGGAGUGCUGAGGGCAAUCACACCCCAAGCACAGUGUUCCUUGUGAUUAUCUGUAGGAAUAUCUGAAGCCUGUUGUACAAAGAAAGAAAUUAUGUGUACCUGUGAUAAAUCAAGCAGCUGACCAACCAUUACCUCUUCCUCCCUGCUCUUUUCACCUAAUAAAUAUGAAGGGCUGUAGAAGCUCAAAGCCUUUGUUCACUAGAAGCAAGGAGCCCCUGACACCUUCUUUUAAAACAGAU
rnacentral:lncRNA from 10 species